AGACUUGUUGCUGGUGUCCUACUGGAGUUGAGAAGAGAUCUGCUGCCUGCCAUGAGGCCAUGUCUCUCAAGUUACCGCAAUAUUGUUGCCUUCAAACCUGUCGAGACAAGGUUUCUUUACAUGGCCAUGGCGCUCAAGGAAGAAACUGAGACUGUAGACUGCCAACGUUCAUUCCUGUUCCGGCAAAGACGGGCCAGCAGUAACCAGCAGGAUUUUACAAAGUGAACUCAUCACAGCUUGAGCCACUCCAUGCCACAAGCAGUUGCUCCUCGAGCCACCGUGCAAAGGUUCCUUGGGGCACAAGUCCAACUCAGCGCCACCUUUCUUCUGCAGUUUUUCUACCUACUUAGCUAACCAGCAGCAAGUUUAUCCUUGCAAGGCAUGUGGGAACAGCUUUCACCAGGAAACAGUGCAAGACGAGUGGUCGAAGAAAAUAAAAUUGCUUCUGUGAUCUAAAGUACUUGACGAAUAAAAUUUUGCACUUA